rnacentral:rRNA from 1 species
AAUCAACGCUGGCGGCGUGCCUCAGACAUGCAAGUCGAACGAUUAAAGCUCUCUUCGGAGAGUGUAUAGAGUGGCGCACGGGUGAGUAACACGUAAGUAAUCUACCUUCGAGUGGGAUAACGUCCGGAACGGACGCUAAUACCGCAUAACGCAGCGGCAUCGCAAGAUGACAGUUGUUAAAGAUUAUCGCUUGAAGAGGAGCUUGCGGCAGAUUGGCAGUUGGUAAGGUAACGGCUUACCAAGGCUACGAUCUGUAUCCGGUCUAAGAGGGACGGUCGGACACACUGACACUGAAUAACGGGUCAGACUCCUACGGGGAGGCAGCAGUC